AAUCUAUGAUGACCUUAUCCUGAACCUGAAUAUCUGUUGAGAAAAAUGGGAA
ensembl:snoRNA